rfam:Trichobilharzia regenti genome assembly, scaffold: TRE_scaffold0012652
GUACUGAUGAAGAGUCCCAAACAAGGCUGACGAAACAGCUGUCCAGUAC